rnacentral:lncRNA from 10 species
GAUUAGGUGAGCAGGGUGGGAGUUGUUAAACGGCUAACUUGAACUCACAGAAAGAAAACUUGUUCAUGUCUAGGCUUCUGGGAAGGAUGUCUGGUCACCAAGAAUUUGGUUAAGUCAUAGAGUGGUGUGACAAUUGCAGAAAAGUUAGGAACCCACUGUCUGCAGUAACAAGUGAGACCCAGAAACUUCUUCAUUGUCUCUUAGUUACUAGCCUGGGCAAAUUUUGAAGGCUCUGUAGUCUGUGCUAAGUAAGAGAUUUAUCUGCUUCGGAUAAAGCAUGCCCUAGAUAAUGAAGUUUGCUGUGACAAAAUUGUAGCUUCUCUUUGGAAACCUGCUGCUCCUUCUGAACUAAAACAGGACAUGAAUCACUCAUGUGUUGAAGAUCAUCUGUCUUCCAAGUAUGUUAUUCUUUUUUUUUUUUUUUUUUGAGACUGAGUCUCACUCUGUCUCCAGGCUGGAGUGCAGUGGCACAAUCUCUGCUCACUGCAACUUCUGCCUCCCGGGUUCAAGCGAUUCUCCUGCCUCAGCCUCCUGAGUAGCUGGGACUAUAGGCGUGCACCACCACGCCCAGCUAAUUUUUGUAUUUUUAGUACAGACAGGAUUUCACCAUGUUGGCCAGGAUGGUCUCGAUCUCUUGACCUCCAGAUCCGCCCACCUCGGCCUCCCAAAGUGCUGGGAUUACAGGCCUGAGCCACCUCGCCCAGACCCAGCCAUGGCCUGGAGGAGCACCGGCUGCUGUGGCACUCACAGCAAGGAAGGCGCAGCCGGGGGAAGCCUGGGGCACCUGGCGCAUGCCGCGUUGAGGCUUGUGGUGCGGCGAAAAAUCAGCAGAACAUUCAGAGGGAGGAAACCCCAGACAGCAAUGAGAAUGAAUUGCUUCCAGAGGAAACUACCCACGGCCUCUUCGCAGCAUGUGCUGGGCCAGGCAUUUGCGAGUGGGGACUCUGGCCUCUGUGGGAUGAAGGGGUGCCAGGCCGUGGGAGGGAGGCUGUGAUGAUGUCCCAGCUUGCCCACAUGCCCUCCUGCCUCACACACGGCGCUGUCAAGCGACCCAACUACAACACAACAAAGCAGGCCUGCUCGGUUCCUUCCCUCAUUCAUUCUCCAGAGCACCCAGCACGAAUGGCUUGGCGCGAAGUCUUGGCAAGCAGUUGAACAGGGGAAUCUGGACUCCAGGCAGUUAGCCCACGAGAAGUCCUGGUUGAAGAGAAGCCGAAUGGAUGGGAGGACAGGGAGGGAGGCAGACUUGAGGGAUUGCCGUGGUGCAGGAAAGUCCCCACCGUCACCGUGAGGGGUGGGAGACAGCUGUGGAGCGAGAACUGAUUAGCAUCGCCUUAAGAAUCCAGAGGAGUACAGAGGCAGAUGAGGAGUUGCGAGAAUUAGCAUCCUUAACUAAGAGACAUAAGUGUAAUGGGAGCCAAGAUGGUCCUAAGUGGCUCAUCCCAGGCUGCUUUGCAAUAACGUGAGUGUUAAAUAUGCACCAAAAAGGAGGGGGCAGAAAAAGGAAACCUAGAAAUAAAG